rnacentral:rRNA from 1 species
UACGUAGGAGGCAAGCGUUAUCCGGAAUGACUGGGCGUAAAGGGUGCGUAGGUGGUCUGGCAAGUUGGCAGCGUAAUCCCGGGGCUCAACUCCGGUGCUACUGCCAAAACUGUCGGACUUGAGUGCAGGAGGGGUGAAUGGAAUUCCUAGUGUAGCGGUGGAAUGCGUAGAUAUUAGGAAGAACACCAGCGGCGAAGGCGAUUCACUGGACUGUAACUGACACUGAGGCACGAAAGCGUGGGGAGCAAACAGG